CUUAUGGGAAAAGUCGCUGCUCGUUGCUAAGAACUUCAUCUUUGUUUAAAUACCACUUGUUCGGGUAAUAUAGAUAGUACAUUAAUAGUUUAAUACGCGUAUUAUAGCACCCAGACAUCCAUAACAACUUCUCCUCUUUCUAUGAAAUUCCGACGAAUGACGCUAGUUUAACGUUAGCUAAAUAGCCUGCUAGCUAGCUCAGAAAGGGGCGGGACUUCCUGUUAUACGGAAGCCGGUUGUGGACACUUCCUCAGUUCGCCGCCGGCAGUCAGAGAGCAGACAUGGAUUCUGGCUGCUGCAGUCGUAGGUUUCAAACUUUACAUCGUGGCAGCCAGUAUGAAUCGAUUAGGUCGGUUUGGCUGAAAUUAGGCUGAAAGAUCCCCAGAGAGAAGUCAAACGAUCUGCCCCAUGGAGGCGUGCUGGAGUCCAACCCUCGGUGAGUCCCGUGACCAUGGAGAUGAACCAUCUGAAGACCCAGGGAUCUUAGACUCAAGUUGAAUUCCAGGUAAAAAUGGGAAGACCGAAGAGUUCAGAGUCCUUACUGACCGUUGCUGUGCUUGACAGCUGGUAAACUGUUUUAAAGCUGGACAAACAUCCAAGAUUACUGUGCUUGAGAGCUGGUAAACUGUUUUAAAGCUGGACAAACAUCCAAGAUUACUGUGCUUGAGAGCUGUCAACAUGUGAAGACAGAAGAGUUCAGAGUUUUGGGCCUGACAGGUGGUUGGUUCACGACUCAACAGAUGAGGAAAGUAACUCCUGAUGAUCCUGGUGAUCAGUUCUCUGUAAAGGCGCCUCUACACUUUUUUUUUUUAAUUCAAAUGUCGCCACUGGCUAGAAAGCUGCUGCCCUCGAGCUCCGGAAGAAACCUGGAUGAAGAAGCUGUAUUUUGUUAAUGUAUACAUUGUAUUUGUUAAUAAACUGACUUUAUUCUGCUUCCUGAA